rnacentral:lncRNA from 1 species
AUUACAUUUAAUUGUGAUAACUCAUGUAUGUGCCUUUUAAAUUCAUUUCUAUCUUCUAAGCUAAAUGCUAAAUCUUAUGUUUUGAUUGAUAUCUCUGGAUUAAUUAUUUCUAACUUAUAUACUUCAUUAUUGUAAUCCUAACUUAUAUACUUCAUUAUUGUAAUCCUAACUUAUAUACUUCAUUAUUGUUUUUUUAAAAUUGGGUUAUUUUCUAUUAUUUCUAAUUGUUCUAACUCUUCUGCUUUUUUCUUAAUAUCCUCGGGCCAUCUAUCACAUUCUAAGCAUUUUAUUUUGUUUUCUACGUUCAAACAUCUUGCAAAUAUAUGUCUAUCUCACAAUCAUCUAAAAUUUCUAAUUUACUGUUGUCUAACUCAUCACUUUCGUGCAUAAUGCUAUCUAGCUUAUUAUGCUACCUAGUUUCUUAUUGCUUUUAGACUUGCUUUCUUGUUCUACCUAUUGUCUUCUAAUAAUGGAUCAAAAUAUGCAAUAUCUAAUUCUUUUUCCAUUGCUAUUGACUUCUUUUGAAACUGUAAAAUAAUGUCUCAAAUUUAAGUUUAACCGAUCAAACAUUUCUAUCACUUUUGGGUUGCGUUUGACACCCAUAUUAGAUUGGACUAAAAAUUAUAAUUGGAUUAGAUUAUAAGGAUUGGAUUAAGUUGGAUUAUAUAAUAUUAUCUUAUAUUUGGUACAAUAUCAGGUCAGACAAUGUUAAAUUAAUUUAGAUACAAAAAAAUAUUUAGAGAAUAAUUAAAAUUA